rnacentral:rRNA from 1 species
CCUACGGGAGGCAGCAGUGGGGAAUAUUGCACAAUGGGGGAAACCCUGAUGCAGCGACGCCGCGUGAGUGAAGAAGUAUUUCGGUACGUAAAGCUCUAUCAGCAGGGAAGAAAAUGACGGUACAUGACUAAGAAACCCCGGCUAAAUAAGUGCCAGCAGCCGCGGUAACACGUAGGGGGCAAGCGUUAACCGGAUUUACUGGGUGGAAAGGGAGCGUAGACGGCAGCGCAAGUCUGGAGUGAAAUCCGAUGGCUUAACCAUGGAAAUGCUUUGGAAAAUGUGCAGCUAGAGUGCAGGAGAGGUAAGCGGAAUUCCUAGUGUAGCGGUGAAAUGCGUAGAUAUUAGGAGGAACACCAGUGGCGAAGGCGGCUUACUGGACUGUAACUGACGUUGAGGCUCGAAAGCGUGGGGAGCAAACAGGAUUAGGUACCCUUGUAGUC